CACAGGCACAAUGCUACCGUCAGACACACUAAACUAUGUAUAUCAAUUCUACAACAAGAUGGUAUACUAUUUGGUGGAACCACACAAGCAGGACCUUCGCAUCGUUGCGACACGCGAACUCAUCAAGAGCUGCUCAAAAGCGAUGAUGCCGCAAAGAAGACAAAGCGAAGGGAAAAAGCAAAGAAAGACAAUAUUGAACAUCGAUUAUCACUCAGGUGGACUGAAGGAAGUGCAGUGAAUAACUAUGAAGUUUCAUUUGAAGUUCGACCAACGGCCAUUAGAAGGUGAUGGACAUGUUUGUACCGGUACAUUGGAAUCUUCGGACCAUUUGCUCCUCCGCCCAGCCAACUGCACGUGCAAAGGAAGGGGGCGCUAAACAGCUUCAACACUGCUUCGUGCAUUCGAUUGUCUGGAGUAUUCGAACCGGUCUAGGUGUUUCAUCAACUUCAUCUAUUGUAAAACAAUUUGAAUUACUCGCGGGACAAUUUGGACAGAUUUAACAAUGUGUCCAGCUGUGUGCAGCAUGUACUACACAUUACUCUUUCUUCCGCACAUCCACUAGGAGCACCGGUUCUGUGGUGCAACUCUAUUGAGGAUGUUGCUGACGGUAGCUGGAGCGGUGCUUCAACCGGAUGAGAAUCCUGUAUGGCCUCAAUACACGGAUCAAUCGAGGAUGUUUCGACAGUGGCCAAUGGAGAUGGUUGACAUUCAGCAACGCUGGGUGCAAUCGCCGUGCGGUUGCUUUCCACAGCAGCUGAUAUAGAAACGCCAUCGAAAAAGGCUAGCGGAGGAGCCUCACGGACGUCAACGGUAGAAACUGUCUCCGUGGGAUGUUUUUCCACAGAUCUCUGCCGAUUUUCAGCUACGUCAAUGGUCAACGGAGAUGGUUCACGGACGUUAAUGUUGGACACCGGUACCGUGCAAUUAUUAACAGAUUGUGUUGUUCCACUGUCAAUAAAGGCCAACACAGAUGGCUCACGGGCGACAACGCUGGGCACCGCAUGCAUGUUACGCUUUUGCACAAAAGAUAUUUGUGAAACAUCGCCAAAAUAGGCCAAGGGAGGCGGCUCAGUAACAACGCUGGCCUCCUUUUUCGUUCGCGGCUUUUUCGAUCCAGCUUCCAAUACGUUGAAAGACGUCGAGGGUGGCCGGGACGUGUUGUACAGCGUUAGAACUUUAGACGGUUUAUCACUGGCUUGCCGUUUUGAUAAAACCGUAUUAAAAAAUAUUAACGGUGGUGGAUUUUCUUUCAAGCUACUUUGCAUUUUGACUUUUCAACUGCAUCGCACAAAAUAAGUUUGCAAUUGAACUGUUUGGAUACAAAUGCUGCUUGCUUGUACCAAUACUAACUCACAAAUAUUCAUGUAGUAAUACAGUUUAGCUAUCAAUACUAAUAACAGCUCAUUAUUGCUCAUCAAUACUAAUCCCGCUUGUGCUGUUAACAAUAAAAGCACGUGUAAGGUAUAA